CACACCGUAAACGAUGACAGCUAGUUGUUGGCAGGCAUGCCUGUCGGUGACGCAGCUAACGCAUUAAGCUGUCCGCCUGGGGAGUACGGCCGCAAGGUUAAAACUCAAAGAAAUUGACGGGGGCCCGCACAAGCGGUGGAGCAUGUGGUUUAAUUCGAAGCAACGCGCAGAACCUUACCUACCCUUGACAUCCCGAUCGCGGUUUCCAGAGAUGGAUUCCUUCAGUUAGGCUGGAUCGGUGACAGGUGC
rnacentral:rRNA from 1 species